AUCGAACGCUGGCGGCGGGCCUAACACAUGCAAGUCGAGCGGACGAAGGGAGCUUUCUCCUGGUUUCCGCGGCGGACGGGUGAGUAAUGCCUAGGAUUCUGCCUGGUUGUGGGGGAUAACGUCCGGGAACGGCCGCUAAUACCGCAUACGUCUUGCGGGUGAUAGUGGGGGUUCUUCGGACCUCACGCUAUCAGAUGAGCCUAGGUCCGAUUAGCUAGUGGGUGGGUUAAAGGCCUACCAGGGCGACGAUCCGUUACUGGUCUGAGAGGAUGAUCAGUCACACUGGAACUGGGACCCGGUCCAGCCUCCUACGGGAGGAAGCGGAGGGGAAUAUUGGACAAUGAGCGAAAGCCUGCUGCAGACAUGCCGCGUGUGUGAAGAAGGUCUUCGGAUUGUAAGGCACUUUAAGUGGGGAGGAAGGGCAGUAAGUUGAAACGUUGCUGUUUUGACGGUACCAACAGAGUAAGCAACGGCUAACUACGUG
rnacentral:rRNA from 1 species